rnacentral:rRNA from 1 species
AGCCCUUCGCUUACAUGAAGGGUGUCGCCUGCCCAGUGGAAAAAUCUUAACGGCCGCGGUAUCUUGACCGUGCAAAGGUAGCAUAAUCAUUUGUCUCUUAAAUGGGGACCUGUAUGAAUGGCAUUACACUCUCUAACUGUCUCUUUUCUAAACCUUCUAAACUUCUAUUCAUGUGAAGAAACAUGAAUAAAAAAGAUAGACGAGAAGACCCUGUCGAGCUUCAGCUUUCAUUAGACCUUUUUAAAUUCUACAGAAUUAAACUAAUCUAAUAUAAGCUUUGGUUGGGGCAACCAUGGAGAAAACUAAUCCUCCAGUUAACAAGAAGAUUCCAAAUCACUUAAACCUUUAAUAAAAGAGAACCAGUAAUUCUGGAAAACGGAAAAAGUUACCGCAGGGAUAACAGCGUUAUCUUCUCUAAGAGUCCUCAUUGACGAGAAGGUUUGCGACCUCGAUGUUGGAUUGGGGUAACCAAAAGGUGCAGCAGCUUUUUCUGGUUGGACUGUUCGUCCAUUAAAACCCUACG